UGGGGCGUCGCCAAGCGGUAAGGCACCGGUUUUUGGUACCGGCAUUCGUAGGUUCGAAUCCUGCCGCCCCAG
rfam:Alpha proteobacterium AAP81b AAP81b_Contigs_51, whole genome shotgun sequence.